rnacentral:rRNA from 1 species
ACGAACGCUGGCGGCGUGCUUAACCCAUGCAAGUCGAACGGAAAGGCCCCUUUGGGGGUCCUCGAGUGGCGACCGGGUGAGUAACACGUGAGUAACCUGCCCUUGACUUCGGGAUAACUUCAGGAAACUGGGGCUAAUACCGGAUAGGAAUCCUUGCUGCAUGGUGGGGGUUGGAAAGCUUCGGCGGUUUUGGAUGGACUCGCGGCUUAUCAGCUUGUUGGUGGGGUAGUGGCUUACCAAGGCUUUGACGGGUAGCCGGCCUGAGAGGGCGACCGGCCACAUUGGGACUGAGAUACGGCCCAGACUCCUACGGGAGGCAGCAGUGGGGAAUAUUGCACAAUGGGCGGAAGCCUGAUGCAGCAACGCCGCGUGCGGGAUGACGGCCUUCGGGUUGUAAACCGCUUUCAGCAGGGGCGAAGCUUGUGGUGACGGUACCUGCAGAAGAAGCACCGGCUAACUACGUG